rnacentral:lncRNA from 1 species
CAGAUCACUUCUGCAGCUUUUGGAUCUGCAGCCUGGACUUCCUCUGGUCCUGAGGAGAGCUCUGAGGAGCUGCGGGCCUCGGGCCCAUUCAGGUGCACUGCUUAUUGGGAUGCAGGAACGAGUAGCCUCAACGCCACCACUUAACAAAUCACCUUAUUCUCUGCCAUUUGACUCAUGGAAUGGCUCUAAGGAGGCUGUGAUGCAUGCGAAGGAAAGCAACUGACUUAACUCAUUGGGAUUCAGGGAACGACCUGCCCUCUUUUGGAAAGAAAAAAAAAUAGAAGAAGGAGAAGGAGAAGAGUAAGUGUGCGUGUGUGUGUGUGUGUGCGUGUGCGUGCGUGUGCGUGCAUGUUCGUGUGAGAGAGAGGGAGAGGGGAGGGGGAGAUACACACAGUGCUGCUUUCCUGAGCUGCCGCUUCCCAAGCAGAAACUAUCGGGAGAAACGCAGCGUCUUGGCUCUUUCCUGCAUUUACACAAUGAAAUCACUGCUGUUUUUAUUCCUGCUAACGGGCCGCUUUUGUUUGCAUCCACUCCGAGACAUGGACGAUGGGAACAAAUAAGUGCUUAAGAUCAAAUAGACAAAAAAAAAAAAAAAAAAAGAGAGAGAAAAAAAAGCCCAACCACGCUGGGAUGCUGGGAUGAGGAUUACUCACUUUAGCUCUGACUGGAGCAGCUAUGAAACAUGUAGCCCUACAAGCUGCUGAGCCCAGGUAAGUGAGGCAGUGAGCAAAGCAAGCCCUCCGCAGGACGAGCACCUCCCACUGCCUGCACCAGCACAGUCAGCCCCAGGAGCAGCACCUUCCGCAGUGCCUGUGCCAAGAGAUGUAGAGCUGAAGCACUGUGUCCAGCACCCCGAGGCCUGGUGCACAACUACUGUGGGACAAUGUAUGAGCCAGCUAGCAAGUUUUUUGAGGCAAAGCAAAUGCUGGAAUAAAAGUCAUCUAAUGAUGCAAAAGUCUGAGGAAAUCAUAAAUGCAGGAACAGGGGUGGUUAGAACUGAAUGCUCUUCACCACUCUUACCAUCUCAGUCUACAAACAUGACUGUGUGUCCAGAUGCAGCACAUGAGCCUGCCACAUGACAACUGUUCUACAGCUCACGAGUGGGUGUGAAGGAGAAAAGAAGGAAGACUACCCAAGCCAAUCCAACUGGAAACAGCAAAAGUGCCUGGAACAUAAUAGGAAUAUAGAAGCUGACUAUUUAUUUGAAUGAAUGCGACCAGUCCUGAGUAGAAAGGAGGACUGAGAUAUUAUACAAAAUUAAAUCAAGAGAAAUAAUUCUCCAGCUUCAGAAGAUUGCACUGCAAUACGGAGAAGCACAGAAGUGAUACAAAGAGCAACGGGACUGUGAAAAUUACAUUAAAAUAUUUUGGUUUGUUGUUUGAUUUUUGUUUGUUUGCUUGCUUUUGUUUUUAAUUUAUAAUACAUUUUCCUCAAUUGUGUAUCAUCAUCCUUUUAUGUUGAGCUUAAGACAUUCAUGCAAGCAAUUUUAUUUCCAGCAAACAUUAACAUUUGGUAGCUAAGCACAAAAAUCCCCACACUUUUAUAUCUCCACAUGCACGUUUCCACUGAAUUUGCUCAAGCACUUCAUCCGAUCAAAGAGUAAGAACAAUUCUGUUCAACAAGCAAGACCCACAAACAGGUUUCGAGUAAUAAAGAAUGACUUCAAAGAGCUGUUUUCUGAUGAACACUGAAACGUUUGCUGAGCAUGCUAGAAAAAGCUGUGUCUGUUCAUACAUAGGUUGGAUACUGGAGCACAACAAAUUUUUCCUUAAGCCACGUGAAGAAGGAUGAAGGGAAAGCAGACAGGGAUAAACCUUGAGCACUGAAGCUGUGAUUUCAAGCCAAAGCCUGCCCUUAUGGAGCCUUAUGGGGGGGUUAUGAAAAGCUUCUACGGAACAGGAAAACAAGUCCUUCUUUCUUCCUAUGUGCUUCAGAGAACUGAGAAAAACAGAAAGACCUGGAAUUGAGAAAGAUCAGUAAAGGAGAGCAGUAGAUUAGUCCAGGCAGGAAUAUGCAGAAACAAUUCCCAUGAAGGAUUUGCAAAGAUAAAUAAGAACAAAUGUGAGAGAAAGUUGGAUGAUCAUGUUAAAUAAUUCUGAAAUACUCGCUGUUGAAUGAGCAGGAGAAACCUGGCUUUGAAUUUGUUAGAAUUAUACAGAAACAUUAAAGUAUUGCCUCAUCAACACACAUCAAUUAAGGUAAUAUGAAUCAAUGUAAUGCAUAACAGACUUGUAUAAUCUCCCUAUAUGAAAUCUGAUGUUUCCCUGUUGUGCUUGAGUUUGCAUCUCUAUAUUUUUCUUAAUUUUAGAAACUGUCCUACUUGCAGCUACGGCUUUCCUGGCGGAGAAUGACAGGGUGGGAUUUUAGUCAUCAACAGUGCUCAGCUAAGGAGUCAAAUUGUGUUAAAUGAGCCCUCUGCUACUCCGUGAGAUGGUGUUGAACUUAAACACCUGAGCUGCAUGCAGGAUUUCUUUGUCCUUCUAUUGCUAGGAAAGAUGGCACAUUUACAAAGUGACUGCAAAGGUAAGGAGUUAGUGAUCAUCAUACCAAUUGUUCAUAUUUUCUGAAGGCUCUAGAGAAACACACAGCAGUCCAUUAACCAACCAAACAAGCAAACAAACCCAACAGGCAUCUGGACAGGUAGUUAAGUUGCUACUACUGAAUUUCUUACAUUUUCCCAAACAGUGAGGGGAAGUUUAGUAAAAUAAAGGUUCCUACAUGCUCAAAAAUUGUCCAACAUCUCCCAAACAAGCAGCUUACAAAAAAAAAACAAAGCCCUGAAAAAUACACAGCAAAACCCUAAUGUGAAUAAUGAAGCAUGACCAAACAUUCUUUAUUUUAAAAAAUCUUCUAUAUUCUGUCUUUACUUCGAAGUUUUUUAAAAAAACAUUUGGAAAGGUUCAUCACCUGUGAAAAAUCAUAGCUUGGUGAAAAAAUAUCCUAAUUUAUCACUUCAAUAUGAUACUGCAGGGAUACGCAACUACUGAAACAAGAAAAAGCAAUUUUAAGAAGUUUAUUUACCCAUUUUCUUUCUCUGAAUGUGAUACAGCAGGACUGACUCCCCUUUCUGCAAGGCCUGCAGAACCAAGUCAGCAACCUCAAACAAAACUAUUGCCAGACAACCAGUAUCUCAAUUCAUAUGUACCUAUAAUCUCCCAGCUAAUGACAUCUCACUGUGGAGAACCAUAGGAAUACUAACUUGCAUGUGAGGCCUCAUUUCAGUACCAGCACUCAGUCCAGACUACCAGCCUACAGCACAUGAGAUCUGCCUACUCUGGCAGCAGUGGAUAACCAUGCAUAUGUGUGUCACACAGCCAUCCAGCUGUGUCCCCCACGCUAGGCUGUGGGCAGCACAAUAGAGCUUGUUUAAGUUCCACUUAACGCCUCUCUGUUCCCAGAAUAAGAAAACUGUGGCAACUGUGGUACUGGUUGUUAUAGAAGCUCUGUCACUGGAAGUGAUUAAUAACAAAGUAGAACAAAUACUCAUGCAGGCCAAUCCCUGGCAGGGUAGAUGAGCAGCAUUGCAAAUGUUACAUUUUCAGGACCUAAUUCAUGCCAUUCUAUCUGCUGCUCUGUUACUUUUCUGUAUAACUGUAUAACAAAGUAGGGAUGGUAGAGACUGCUUAAUCAGGACAGUCUAACCUAUGGGCAAUUAUCCAAAACCACGUAUUUUCUAAAUUCUGUGCAGAAGAGAGAUGGAGCUUAAGAGCUCUGUAGGGAUCAGAGCUGCUAACCAACUUAUAAGAAGAGCUCUGGGGAUUGGAACGGGAAUAAUGAGAAAAUCUGGAUAUUCAGCGUGAAGAACACUCCCAGUUUAGCUACAGUUACGUGUAAAUUAAACUUGUAUUUAACGUUUAUUGCUAUACAGUUCACUUUAAAAUUUCUCAUGGAAUAGCACUGGGAGAAAUUGUAUAGCACGUGAUUUUUCCCCUCUUUUGUUAUUAGUGUGACUGAGAGGAAUACCUGGGAAACUUGGCCAAGCACAAUUGGAAGUACAAUCAUGCAAUCAGGCUGUCCUGAUAGCUUCCCCUUUUUCAGGUUACAGCAUCACGCUAUGCGGUUAUUUCCAUGUUCAUGUUUAGAUAUCACAUGUAUCUGUAUACAUAGUGAUAAACACACAUGUAUUUAUAACACAGGUAAACACUACUAAAAUGAUGAGGCCUGGAGAAGCUAUAUAGUACUAGAAUUACAAAGUAAGAGGGAAAAAAAAUCUUCCAGAAUACUUCAUCCUCUACUUUCUUCCAUUAUUCCUUUGACAAAACAUAAAGUGCUUCCAACAUAUUUAACUUACUGAAGUCUGAAGACAUCCUUGAUAUUCACAUUUAUUUCUAAUCUAGUUCCUUUGUUACUGAAUCAGUUUAGAAAAACUUCUCUGUUCAGGAAAGCACUUAAGCAUACACAGAAGGACAUUCUUAAAGGUAAGUAUCUUCCUGAAUAAAUCUUAUCAUUUAAUGUUAAUAAACACUCCUUAAUAAACCAUUUGAUAUAUGUUUGCAAUGCAGUGAUGCUUUUAUACUCUUUCACACUGCUCAGUUUUUACUACCAAGAAAAAAAAUAGGACAUGGAAAGGUGACUUCAAAUUUUUGUAAGUUAAGUUUAAAAUGGGUUUGAAAACCUCAUUUUCAGAAACAAACAACUUCAGAAAAUCAAGUUCAUGAUAAACUUAUUGUCUGAGGAUCCAUCAUCAGUAAUUAUUUUGGAAAUCUUGACCUAAUCUUCUAGACAAGCAGUUAUACCCACAACAACAAACAACUCGGCUUCCAGUUUGAAGCAGCAGUAAUUGAAUUGUGAAUAGUUGUUGGGAUUGAUCACAACUGAAAUGUGCAAAUGAGCAUGAGUGUGCGUGUCUGUGUUUGUAUGGAUAUAAAGCAUAAACCACAUAAACUUUUAGGGAGGGAGCGAGCUCCCCUUUCACAGACUCAGUCGAACAAGGCUAUCUGAAUGCAAACAGUGUUCCUGAAACACUCUUAUCACGUCUCCUCUUCCUCUGCAAAAAAUCACGCAUGCUAAACUCAAGAAUUGGGAAAAUUCUGCGACCAAGCACUUCAGCUGUGGUACAACAAAGGUAAUGCAAAAACAGACAGUGACUAAGCAAGGGCAUUUCUACUUUCCUUGUCAGUGUUCCUAGCCAUGAACUCAUGCUCUCCCACUGCUCUUUCAGCUGUGGAGCUUCAAUGUGAAUCUUCCUGCAAGACUGUUGUGAAACCUUUUCUCCCUAUACAGUUCAGCAAAUAGUACCUCAACAUGCUGUAUUUGCACAGUUGAAGGAAAAGCAAAAUAGUGAAUUAGCAACAGGAAAUAGUGAGAGGUGACAGAGAAAAAGGCAACAAUGUCACUAGGAUCUGUAGGAUCUACAGAAGACCUUGAUCACUGGUCACAUUUUAUAAAAGUCCAGGGACAAUCUGUAAGCUCUGAAUUGUUCCUCAGUAUUAUAAUUCAACAGAUGUCCGGAAAAGCAGUCUUAUGCCAGAAGAACUUGGAGAGAAAGGUGAUCUAAAUGCACCUGGCAUGUAAAUCCAAUCAGCUUGCCACACAAGAGGGAUUUAUCCUCUCUUUGUAUUUUUAGUUUUAUAAUGGCCAUGGUGAUCUUAGCAUCCCUGAUCCAUGCAUCCCUAGUGUACUUAAUGUCUCAUUUGGUAUAUAGAAUAGAACAGAGCGGAGCACAGCAGAAUGGAAUGGAAUGGAAUGGAAUGGAAUGGAAUGGAAUGGAAUGGAAUGGAAUGGAAUGGAACGGAAUGGAAUAGAAAAGAAUAGUUGGAAAGGAUCUACAAAGAUCACUGAGUCCAACUGCCAGAUCACUUCAGGGACAAUAAAAAUAAAAGCAUAUUAAUGAGUCCUCUUGGAUACUGACAGGUGUGGGGCAUCAACCACCUCACAAGGAAGUCUAUUACAGUGUUCUAUCAUCCUCAAGGUAAAGAAAUGUUUACUAAUGCCCAGACUGAGCCUUCUCUGGUACAGCUCUGUGCCAUUCCCAUCCUACCAUUGGUUCUCAGGAGCAGAGCCUGGCACCUCCCCCUGGCACUUCGCCCUCAGGGAGCUGCAGAGAGCAGUGUGGUCAACUCUCUGCCUUCUCUUCUCCAGAGUGGACACCCUAGCCCCUCUCACACGGCAUUACUUUGCUUUUAUGUUGUGGAGAAAAGGAUGGCAUGCUGUAUAGGUGAGACUGCACCAAUGUAAAAUGUAGCAGGGCAAUCAUGUGACUGGCUAUGCUGUGCUUAAUGCAUCCCACAAAGUGUUUAGCUCUUUAUUUUCCUAAUAAGACGGAACUGGCUUGAAAUAAAGUUUUGCAAAAAGUGGACUGAGAUUUCAAAAUUCAUGCUUUCAAAAUUUGUAUAAAAAGAGAAAUAACAUUUAUCAUAUGUUAUUGGAGGGGAGGUUACAGGGUUACAGGUCAAAAUACCCAUGUACCCAUGCAUAAGAGAACAAAAGACAUCUCUUCCCCCUCCCCCCCCCCCCCCCCCGCCCCCCUCCCCACACACACACAUACUCCUUCUUACUAAGCUCCCCUUCCAAAGCAGAGCAGCUCAGAUGUCAGACCAACCAGAGCAGAGACACCCAGGUCAGUUUUGCCUCUGCAGAAUUUCCAUCUUGCUCCUUCCAAGUCUUGCUAUUGAAGUUUUCUCAAAGACAACACAACCUCUUCUUCCUCAGCAGUGAGAAAAGAAAUAUGCGACUGUGUGCCAUGUUGCAGCUAUUUGUGUAGCCUCUCCCACUAUGAGCAUUUGGCAAACCCCCAUUUCUUGAGAAACUGCAUUUAGUUUGUGGCACUGCUACAAAAGUAGACUGUGAAAGCAGCACUUCUACUAACACACCAGUAAAAAUCCCAAGCUAGAGAUUUUGAAGAUGAUGUCAAUCCAAUAUUCCUCCUACACACGUGAAACCAAAAAUUGCCAUAAAGACUGCUAUAGAUUAAAAUUCUCUUAAAUGGGCUGUUACAAUAAAUAAGCAAAUUAGUUCUUAGAACCAUAGAACACAGCUCCAGUCAGAACAGCACAGAAGAGUUGAAUUACAUCAGGCAUAUUUUCAAGCCUGUUAUCAAAACUAUCAAUCAUGUCCCAUCUAACAAGAAUCCUGCAACAUUAAAACUUCAGCAAAUACAGAAAUUGUCAUAAGGAAUAAAGAUUGCUUCAAAAUUGUCUUUGCUGUGAAGCACAAAGUUUGCAUUCAUGUAGUCGUACGCAUCUCCACUGACCUCAGACAACCUGUGGGAAGAUGUAAACAAGAUAAAAGCUGUCUGGAGCUACAUGAGCUAACCACAGCCUGCCUGUGGACUAUGGAUAUAAUCUCUCCAUUUUGUCUCAGAUAGACAGGAAAGAAAAAUAUUCUCUGUUAUCUUGAUGACAGAAGCCUCAGAGAUGGAUUGAAGAUCCCCAAUCAGAAUGAAAGAUGUUACUCAGCUUUAACGUGGUGCUGGCAAACUUUGCUCAGAUGGAAGCAUCAGAGCCAGAGCUGUAGCUAUCCCUUGUAUCAACAGUGUCUGGAUAAUCUCAACUGGAAACACUAAAAUCAGUCUAUCAACUUUAAUGAGAACAUACAGGUUUAUAAGCUCUACAAAUUUACUAUACUUUUGCCCAGGGCCUACUUGCAUACUUUAGAGAACAGUCUUUUU